UUCUGUAUUGAGAAAUCAUAAUUUAGGAAUUGAUAGAUUAUCAUAUAUUCACUCCAUCUACCAAUAACUCUGUGAGAGUCAUUUAUUGACCUUGGACUUGGCCAUGUGGCUUGCUUAAGAAUGGAAUGUGGAGAGAUAGCAGUGUACCACCAGUCUUGCCUUUAGAAGCACCGUGUUUCUGUUCUCAGGAACAUCUGACCUCUGCCAUGAGGUCAAGUAGCUGCCUAUUAGCAUCUGGGUACCAGACUGAAUUCACGUAUUGCAGAGGCAUCUCAGCCAGCCGGAGGACUCACAGCCUGAAGCAGAGCAACCCAGCAGACAUGAAGACUCUUGAGUGAGACAUAACUACUUAUUGUUGUGUGCCACUGUGAUUUUGGGGGUUGUCUGUUAUGCAGCAAUAGCUGACAGUUACAUGAGUGAACUGUAUUAAUAUUUGGGAAGUUUAUUAAAUUACUGGAAAUAAAGUUUGCAUUUAGGCUGGGUUGUAUUAUUUUGGGUAAAAAGUGGUGACUAAAGUGGUGAUAUUGAAUUAUGUGUAUGGUUGUAUACUUGGUUUCUUAUAAACUAAAGAAACUUAGGCCAGGCGCAGUGGCUCAUGCCUAUAAUCCCAGCACUUUGGGAGGCUGAGGUUAGGUAAAUUGCUUGAGCUCAGGAGUUCAAGACCAGCCUGAGCAACAUGGUGAAACCCUCUCUCUACCAAAAAUACAAGAAUUAGUUGGGCGUGGUGGUGUGUCCCUGUGGUCCCAGCUACUCAGGAGGCUGAGGCAGGAGGAUCACUUGAGCCAAAAAG
rnacentral:lncRNA from 1 species